AUUGAGCGCUGGCGGCAUGCCUAACACAUGCAAGUCGAACGGUAACAGGAAGACGCUUGCUUCUUUGCUGACGAGUGGCGGGCGGGAGAGUAAUGUCUGGGAAACUGCCUGAUGGAGGGGGAUAACUACUGGAAACGGUAGCUAAUACCGCAUAACGUCGCAAGCCCAAAGAGGGGGACCUUCGGGCCUCUUGCCAUCGGAUGUGCCCCGAUGGGAUUAGCUAGUAGGUGGGGUAACGGCUCACCUAGGCGACGAUCCCUAGCUGGUCUGAGAGGAUGACCAGCCACACUGGAACUGAGACACGGUCCAGACUCCUACGGGAGGCAGCAGUGGGGAAUAUUGCACAAUGGGCGCAAGCCUGAUGGGGCCAUGCCGCGUGUAUGAAGAAGGCCUUCGGGUUGUAAAGUACUUUCAGCGGGGAGGAAGGGAGUAAAGUUAAUACCUUUGCUCAUUGACGUUACCCGCAGAAGAAGCACCGGCUAACUCCGUG
rnacentral:rRNA from 1 species